rnacentral:lncRNA from 1 species
CCAUUGCAGCUUGAUUAGCAUCAUGUUGCUCCUUACUCUUCCUUCCUAUAGCACAAGGGAGAAAUAUAAAUAUCAUAAAGAACAAGUGAGAAUGUACACUGUAAACAAAGAACAUAUGCAUAUAAUUUAUCUUACAUCCCAAAAUUUAUCUACAAUUGAUAAAUUCCUCUCCGUCUAUCAGUAAUUGGGAAAUUAGUUUUUGUAAUAAAUAGUAAUGGGUUGAGCAAAAAAUACCCACCAUAAAACACAAAUUCAAUCAAAUGAUGGAAAGUAAUACCACAUAAACACACCCACAAAUCACAAAGUCAAUCAAUAAAAUCAUAAAUGGAGCAAGUAAAUCAUAUGUGAUACAAAGAUCACUGACCAGAAUACGUCCCGCCAACAUCAGAUGCAGGGGUUGAAUAAACAAAACUACCAAUUUCAUUUAAAAGUCGUCUGACAAAUGAGCAUAAGAAGUCAAGAACAUACCUGAGAGCUGAGACGACGGGCGAAGGCGGCGGCGGAGAGAAGGGAAGAAUAGGAUUCUAGGGCUUGCAGCAAACGAUUUAAAAUAUUAGAAGGGAAGAAUAGGAUUCGAUGUUGCACUUACUUCCUUCAAGGAAAUCGAUUUUAGCAGCUUCGAUUUUGCAGCCCAAGAUUAUCUGGAGGGGAACAUUAGAUGAGAGUUCAGUC